ensembl:miRNA
CUACCCAGCUCUGCCUGGCAUAGUAGUGCAUGCCUAUAAUCCCUGCACUGGGGAGGCUGAGGCAGGAGGAU